UACGGGGGGAGCAAGCGUUGUUCGGAUUUACUGGGCGUAAAGGGCGCGUAGGCGGCCUGUGCAAGUCAGUUGUGAAAUCUCCGGGCUUAACUCGGAACGGUCAACUGAUACUGCUCGGCUAGAGUGCAGAAGGGGCAACUGGAAUUCUUGGUGUAGCGGUGAAAUGCGUAGAUAUCAAGAGGAACACCUGCGGCGAAGGCGGGUUGCUGGGCUGACACUGACGCUGAAGUGCGAAAGCUAGGGGAGCGAACGGG
rnacentral:rRNA from 1 species